rnacentral:rRNA from 1 species
GACGAACGCUGGCGGCGUGCUUAACACAUGCAAGUCGAACGUGAUUUUUGUGGAAAGCCCUUCGGGGACGGAAAUGAAAUGAAAGUGGCGAACGGGUGAGUAACACGUGAGCAACCUACCUUACACAGGGGGAUAGCCGUUGGAAACGACGAUUAAUACCGCAUGAGACCACAAAGCCACAUGGCUUAGGGGUAAAAGAUUCAUCGGUGUAAGAUGGGCUCGCGUCUGAUUAGCUAGUUGGAAGGGUAAAGGCCUACCAAGGCAACGAUCAGUAGCCGGUCUGAGAGGAUGAACGGCCACAUUGGAACUGAGACACGGUCCAAACUCCUACGGGAGGCAGCAGUGGGGAAUAUUGCACAAUGGGGGGAACCCUGAUGCAGCGACGCCGUGUGAGCGAAGAAGGUUUUCGAAUCGUAAAGCUCUGUCCUAUGAGAAGAUAAUGACGGUAUCAUAGGAGGAAGCCCCGGCUAAAUACGUGCCAGCAGCCGCGGUAAUACGUAUGGGGCGAGCGUUGUCCGGAAUUAUUGGGCGUAAAGGGUACGUAGGCGGCCUUUUAAGUCAGGUGUGAAAGCGUGAGGCUUAACCUCAUUAAGCACUUGAAACUGGAAGGCUUGAGUGAAGGAGAGGAAAGUGGAAUUCCUAGUGUAGCGGUGAAAUGCGUAGAUAUUAGGAGGAAUACCGGUGGCGAAGGCGACUUUCUGGACUUUUACUGACGCUCAGGUACGAAAGCGUGGGGAGCAAACAGG